AAAUGAAUAGACGGGGGCCCGCACAAGCGGUGGAGCAUGUGGUUUAAUUCGAUGCAACGCGAAGAACCUUACCGAGACUUGACAUCCCGUGACCAUCUAUGAAAGUAGAGUAUAGCUUCGGCUACACGGAGACAGGUGGUGCAUGGUUGUCGUCAGCUCGUGUCGUGAGAUGUUGGGUUAAGUCCCGCAACGAGCGCAACCCUUAUCCUUAGUUGCCAGCGAGUGAAGUCGGGAACUCUAAGGAGACAGCCGGUGAAAGCCGGAGGAAGGUGGGGAUGACGUCAAAUCAUCAUGCCCUUUAUGUCUCGGGCUACACACGUGCUACAAUGGUCAGUACAGAGGGGAGCGAAAGCGUGAGCUGGAGCAAAUCUCAGAAAGCUGAUCUCAGUUCGGAUUGCAGGCUGAAACCCGCCUGCAUGAAGUCGGAAUCGCUAGUAAUCGCAGGUCAGCAUACUGCGGUGAAUACGUUCCCGGGCCUUGUACACACCGCCCGU
rnacentral:rRNA from 1 species